UGGCAGCAGUCGAGAAUCAUUCACAAUGGGGGAAACCCUGAUGGUGCGACGCCGCGUGGGGGAAUGAAGGUCUUCGGAUUGUAAACCCCUGUCAUGUGGGAGCAAAUUAAAAAGAUAGUACCACAAGAGGAAGAGACGGCUAACUCUGUGCCAGCAGCCGCGGUAAUACAGAGGUCUCAAGCGUUGUUCGGAAUCACUGGGCGUAAAGCGUGCGUAGGCGGUUUCGUAAGUCGUGUGUGAAAGGCGGGGGCUCAACCCCCGGACUGCACAUGAUACUGCGAGACUAGAGUAAUGGAGGGGGAACCGGAAUUCUCGGUGUAGCAGUGAAAUGCGUAGAUAUCGAGAGGAACACUCGUGGCGAAGGCGGGUUCCUGGACAUUAACUGACGCUGAGGCACGGAGGCCAGGGGAGCGAAAGGGAUUAGAUACCCCUGUAGUCCUGGCAGUAAACGGUGCACAAGGGGUGUGCGGGGAAUUGACCCCCCCCGUCCCGGAGGUAACGCGUUAAGCGUGCCGCCGGGGGAGUACGUUCGCAAGAAUAAAAAUCAAAGAAAAUGACGGGGGCCCGCACAAGCGGUGGAGUAUGUGGCUUAAUUCGAUGCAACGCGAAGAACCUUACCUGGGCUUGACAUGUAAUGAACAACAUGUGAAAGCAUGCGACUCUUCGGAGGCGUUACACAGGUGCUGCAUGGCCGUCGUCAGCUCGUGUCGUGAGAUGUUUGGUUAAGUCCAGCAACGAGCGCAACCCCUGUUGCCAGUUACCAGCACGUAAAGGUGGGGACUCUGGCGAGACUGCCCAGAUCAACUGGGAGGAAGGUGGGGGCGACGUCAGGUCAGUAUGGCCCUUAUGCCCAGGGCUGCACACGUACUACAAUGCCCAGUACAGAGGGGGCGGAAGCCGCGAGGCGGAGGAAAUCCUAAAAACUGGGCCCAGUUCGGACUGUAGGCUGCAACCCGCCUACACGAAGCCGGAAUCGCUAGUAAUGGCGCAUCAGCUACGGCGCCGCGAAUAAAAUCCCGGGUCUUGCACA
rnacentral:rRNA from 1 species